GUGCCUGCCGCCGCGGUAAUACGGAGGGAGCAAGCGUUAAUCGGAAUUACUGGGCGUAAAGCGCACGCAGGCGGUCUGUCAAGUCGGAUGUGAAAUCCCCGGGCUCAACCUGGGAACUGCAUUCGAAACUGGCAGGCUAGAGUCUUGUAGAGGGGGGUAGAAUUCCAGGUGUAGCGGUGAAAUGCGUAGAGAUCUGGAGGAAUACCGGUGGCGAAGGCGGCCCCCUGGACAAAGACUGACGCUCAGGUGCGAAAGCGUGGGGAGCAAACAGGAUUAGAUACCCUGGUAGUCCACGCCGUAAACGAUGUCGAUUUGGAGGUUGUGCCCUUGAGGCGUGGCUUCCGGAGCUAACGCGUUAAAUCGACCGCCUGGGGAGUACGGCCGCAAGGUUAAAACUCAAAUGAAUUGACGGGGGCCCGCACAAGCGGUGGAGCAUGUGGUUUAAUUCGAUGCAAACGCGAAGAACCUUACCUGGUCUUGACAUCCACAGAACUUU
rnacentral:rRNA from 1 species